AACGCGAAGAACCUUACCUACCCUUGACAUGGUCGGAAUCCUGCUGAGAGGUGGGAGUGCUCGAAAGAGAACCGGCGCACAGGUGCUGCAUGGCUGUCGUCAGCUCGUGUCGUGAGAUGUUGGGUUAAGUCCCGCAACGAGCGCAACCCUUGUCCUUAGUUGCUACGCAAGAGCACUCUAAGGAGACUGCCGGUGACAAACCGGAGGAAGGUGGGGAUGGCGUCAAGUCCUCAUGGCCCUUAUGGGUAGGGCUUCACACGUCAUACAAUGGUCGGAACAGAGGGUUGCCAACCCGCGAGGGGGAGCUAAUCCCAGAAAACCGAUGUAGUCCGGAUUGCACUCUGCAACUCGAGUGCAUGAAGCUGGAAUCGCUAGUAAUCGCGAUCAGCAUGC
rnacentral:rRNA from 1 species